AUUGAACGCUGGCGGCAGGCCUAACACAUGCAAGUCGAACGAGUGGCGGACGGGUGAGUAAUGUCUGGGAAACUGCCUGAUGGAGGGGGAUAACUACUGGAAACGGUAGCUACUACCGCAUACCAUCAGAUGUGCCCAGAUGGGAUUAGCUAGUUGGUGGGGUAACGGCUCACCAAGGCGACGAUCCCUAGCUGGUCUGAGAGGAUGACCAGCAAAACGGGAACUGAGACACGGGCCAGACGCCAACGGGAGGCAGCAGUGGGGAAGAUUGCACAAUGGGCGAAAGCCUGAUGAAGCAAUGCCGCGUGUAUGAAGAAGGCCUUCGGGUUGUAAAGUACUUUCAGCGGGGAGGCGUUACCCGAAGAAGAAGCAACGGCUAACUAAGUGCCAGCCGCCGCGGUAAUUC
rnacentral:rRNA from 1 species